CCUACGGGAGGCAGCAGUGAGGAAUAUUGGUCAAUGGGCGGAAGCCUGCACCAGCCAAGUCGCGUGAGGGAAUAAGGCCCUACGGGUCGUCAACCUCUUUUGCCGGGGAGCAAGGGCGUGGACGUGUCCCGGCCCGGAGAGUACCCGGAGAAAAAGCAUCGGCUAACUCCGUGCCAGCAGCCGCGGUAAUACGGAGGAUGCGAGCGUUAUACGGAUUUAUUGGGGUUAAAGGGUGCGUAGGCGGGCUUUUAAGUCAGCGGUAAAAAUUCGGGGCUCAACCCCGUCCGGCCGUUGAAACUGGGGAUCUAGAGUGUGCGAGAGGUAUGCGGAAUGCGUGGUGUAGCGGUGAAAUGCAUAGAUAUCACGCAGAACCCCGAUUGCGAAGGCAGCAUACCGGUGCACAACUGACGCUCAGGCACGAAAGCGUGGGUAUCGAACAGGAUUAGAUACCCGGGUAGUC
rnacentral:rRNA from 1 species